rnacentral:tRNA from 1 species
GCGGGCGUGGCGGAAUUGGCAGACGCGCUGGAUUUAGGUUCCAGUGGGUUCAUCCCCGUGCAGGUUCGAUUCCUGUCGCCCGCA